rnacentral:lncRNA from 1 species
ACAAGCGUCCUCUCCUGCUGCCGUGUGAGAUAUGGCUGCUUCCCGUUCUGCCAUGAUGGUGUGGCUGUCAGAGGAGGACUGCUGGAUUGUGCCACGUGGAGCCAGGCAGAAGCCAUACACAGCUGGUUGCUACAGCAAGUGGAGCAGACCAAGUGUCCGGCUGCAGAAGAGGUGUCUAAUAGAAGGAGACAGCAGUGAGCAAAGCAGAGUGUGCCUCUGACCUCACGAAGCAGACACCCUAGUUGGGGGUGUGUGCUGGGAGUUUCCAAGACCACUCCCAGGUUCAAUGAUUCAUUAGGAGGACUCACAGGACUCAGUACGGCAGUGGUGCUCAUCACUAUGAUUUGUUAUGGUGAAAGGAUGCCAAACUAGAUCAGCAAAAGGAAAAGGCAUAUGGAGCGAAGUCCAGAGGAAACCAAGUGUAAGCAUCCAUGAGUCCUCUCCCAGUGGUCACACAGGACAGGCUUAAUUCCUCCAGCAAUGGAUUGUGACAAAACAUGUCAAAUGUGGCCAGAUGCUGUGGCUCACACCUGUAAUCCCAGCACUUUGAGAGGCCGAGGUGGGUGGAUCACCUGUCUUGGAUCAGGAGUUCAAGACCAGCCUGGCCAACAUGGUGAAACCCCGUCUCUACUAAAAAUACAAAAAUUAGCCGGGCAUGAUGGUGGGUGCCUGUAAUCCCAGCUACUCGGGAGGCUGAGGCAUGAGAAUCACUUGAACCCAGGAGGUGGAGGUUGCAGUGAGCUGAGAUCGCGCCAUUGCACUACAGCCUGGGUGACAGAGUGAGACUGUCUCUAGAAACAAAACAAAAAAUAUAUGUGAAAUGUUCUGUACCAGGGAAGCUCAUCAGAGAUCAGUGCCCAGGGCAUUGGGGGGCUGGUCACAUAGGUACCCUCUUCUUAGCACGGAAACUCUAGCCUCUCAGUAGGAAAGCAAGUGUUCAGCAUAAACCACAUUGUACAAACAGUUUGGAACAGUGAGUCACUUUUAACAGGAAAUGGGAACCCUCUGGAAUUCCAAAUUGUCUGAUGCCAGCCAAGGGCCAACCUCGUAAACAGGCCUUUUGAAGGACAGCAGUUAGGAGUGCUAGGUUAACUUUUUUUUUUUUCUGUACAGGGAGAUAGAUAAAAACAGACAGACAAGGAUACAUAUAAUGUAGUAGAUGGUCAGGGUAUCUGACAGCCCAUUUGUUGUUUUUGUGUAAAUUAGAGACUUGGCCUCCCUGAUGGCAAACAUGGCUGGUUCACAGUUUGUGGGCACUUGGUGAGUGUAAAAGAAAACUUCGUCCUGUCACUCUUCCCCUACCCCAGACCCAAUCCACACUCCCCUAUUUAGCAGUCCUGUAGAUGGUGGUAGGUGUUGUAAAGAAACAUACAGCAGGAGAAAGGAAUGGAAAAGGUCAGGAUGCAGAUGGCAUGGAUGGGGUUGCUAUUUUAUUCAGGGCUGUCAGGGAAGGCCUUGCUGAUGAGGAGACACUGGACAAAGGCUUGAAGGAAUGGAGUGAGCCAUGAGGCCGUCUGGAAGGACAUCCCAAGGAGAGGAAAUAGCACAUGAAAAGAACCCGAGGCGCAUGAGUUUUUGGCAGGGUCAAUGAACUGAAAGUAGUGCAAUGAGUUGGAGGGAAUGAGAACAGGAAAGGGUGGUAGAAGAUGGGAUCAGAGAAGUUGUAGGGGCCAGGUCAUAUGUUUGUUUAUGAGACCUAUUUAUUAUGUGGUGAAUUGGUUUUAGAGCAUAAUUUCAGACACCCCUUGUAAGUAUUAUUUUUAUGCAGGGACUUAGACCCACGAUCUUCCAAGCGUGUUAAGUGGCUUUCUGAGCUAAACCGUGUCUCAAUGGAUUCUUGAGUUCAAUGACCCCGGAGAGUUUUGAUGACUCUGCUAAGGCCAAGUUGUUCCACGACUGGAAAUCACCCAUGCUGGCUCUGUGUGAAAUUGCUACUUUUCAUUAAUGAGCCCAACCAUGUAACACCAUCAUGGCAUCAUUUCAGGGAGACUUUUCUAUGAUGGAAGCUAUUUACUUUAUGACCCAAGUUGUACCUUUAGCAAGGGGGACACAAGAGGCACACACAUCCUGGCGAAAAAAUUUGUAAAGAUUUUGACAUUGAUAGAAUCACAGGGUUUCUCUUGCAUUUAACUCACUUCUGCAAACAUUUAUAGAGUACUAUUCUAUGCAUUGUUGAGAUCAGUCUCAGUACAAGCCCCUGUUUAAUAUUUCUUUCUCACAGUUGGAACCAUUUGAUCCCAUCUUAGGCUCAGUCUUAUCUUCCACUCAGCAGGCCCAUCUUACACUGGAGAAACAGGACUUUGGUCCAGCUAUAACCCCAUAACCUUGAGCUUGACACCAGCAUACUCUGGCUGCUGAUUUAGCUCCACUGAGAUGUCCAGUUCUGGUUCUUAUGAGUCCCUGUGAACCUACUCUGUACCCUAUUAUGGCACCAAUUCUUCUGCCUUGGACCGUGUUCCUGCCUCAUCUCUUCUUUGUUCUGGACAGUCUCCUGUAUAUGGAGAAGACAUUUUUCCAGAAUUUCAUUCUGUUGGCUGAAAAUCACCUAUUUAUAACAAAUUCCCCAAUGCUAUCUGCAAGUUUUAUUUAGCAGUAUUGUGCUAACCUUGUAUUUCUGUGUUCUACCCACUUUAAGGUUCUGAGUUAUAAGGCUAGAUAGAUUAAAGUUAGAAUACCAGUUCUACCAUUACUAGCUAUGUGAUAUUGAGAACAUUCUUUAAGUUCUCUAAUCCUUGAUUUCUUUAUGUGUAAAAUGGAAAUAAUUAUGGUACCUGCUUGAUAUAAGGAUUAAGCAAAAUUAUUUUUGGAAAUGAGCACCCACAAUAAGUGCUCAAUAAGUGGUACUGUAUUCUUUCAUGUUUGGCAUAUUAACUGAUGUGUUUUGGGGAAUAUUAGGUUAAUAGUUAAAUUUUGCUUUAUGUAUUUGAAUGCAUGUUAUUAGUUGCAUACAAGUUUAGAAUUGUUGUAUCUUCCUGAUAGCAUUUUUUUUGCCUUAAUAUUUCUCAGUCUGACAGCUGUCUCUUUGUUGGGAUUUGUCUAGUUUUUUCAUUGUUUUAUUUUCAACCUUUUUUUAACCUCAUAAAUAGCAUAUAAUUGAGGUUUGUUUUUGUUUUUUUGUUUUUUGUUUUUUGUUUUUUUUUUGAGACAGGUUCUCACUCUGUUGCCUAGGCUGGAGUGGAGUGCAGUGCAGUGGUGCAAUUUUGGCUCACCACAACCUCCACCUCCUGGGUUCAAGUGAUUCUCAUGCCUCAGCCUCCCAAGUAGCUGGGACUACAGGUGUGCACCACUAUGCCUAGCUAAUUUUUAUAUUUUUAGUAAGACAGGAUUUUGCCAUUGUUGGCAGUUGGCCAGGCUGGUCUUAAACUUCUGACCUCAGGUGAUCCAUCUGCUUUGGCCUCCCAAAGUGCUGUGAUUACAGGUGUGAGCCACCAUAUCCAGUCAUGAUUGAGUUCUUAAUACAGUGUUAUAGUCUCUGUCUUUUAAUUGGAGAGUUUAGCCCAUUUACAUUGAUUUUGAUUUUUAAUUUUUUUUUUUUUUUGAGAUGAAGUCUCUCUCUGUCACCCAGGCUGGAGUGCAGUGGCACAGUCUUGGCUCACUGCAACCUCCGCCUCCUGGUUUCAAGUGAUUCUUGUGCCUCAGCCUCCCAAGUAGCUGGGAUUACAGGCUUGUGCCACCACGCCUAGCUAAUUUUGUAUUUUUAGUAGAGACAGAUUUCUCCAUGUUGGCCAGACUGGUCUCAAACUCCCCACCUCAGGUGAUCUGCCCGCCUUGGCCUCCCAGAAUGCUAGGAUUAUAGGUGUGAAUCACCAUGCCCAGCCUGGUUUUUAAUUUAUUUAGAUUCAUUUCUGCUGAUUUUAACUUUUCUGUGACCCACAUUUUCUAGGCUUUUUCUUUUAGUUUCUAUUUUCUUUUGCCUUAAGAUAUUUUUCUCCUUAUUUCACUUUUUUCUCCACUUGUUUAGAAUUUAUACUAAACUUAUUUUCUAUUUUUCUGGUUUCUCUAGAAAUAUAUGUGCAUUGUUAUAUUACAACACAUAAUUGUAUAAAUAUAUGUAAUAGUAUAUACUGUCAUAUAAUUGUACACAUAUAAGUAUAUAAUAUAUAAUGUAUGUAAGUUUAUAUAUUAUGUAUAUCAACAUUCUAAAGUUAAUUAACAAUUUUAUUUUUCUCCUGAACAAAGCAAGAGCCUUAGAAUACUUUAUGAUUACCUGCCUCCUGACUUGUUUGUUAUUGUUUUGUAUUUUAAUUCUUUCUUGAUUUCUUAACUUCACAUAUUGCAUGUCAUUGUGUCUUAUAAAAUCAAUGUUUGUUUAGAUUUCCCCAUAUAUUUACCAUUUAUUUGUUUCUAUUCCUUUUUGUAUCUGAAACCUUCUGAGAUCAUUUUCCUUCCUUGUGAAACAUGUCCUUGUUUGUUAAUAGACUAUUCUCUGUCUUUUUUCUCUCUACAAAUGCCUUUAUUUCACAUUUGUUGAUUGAAAUAUAGUUUUUUUCUUGAUACAGAAUUCUAAUCUGGUAGUUACUUUCAACACUUUGAAAAUAUUAAUCUAUUUUCUUGUGGCUUUCAUAGUUGCUACAAAGUCAGUUGUCAGUUUAAUUGCUCCUUUGUAGGUAAUAUCAUAUAUCCCUUUUCUCUGAAUUAAGAUUUCCUACUUAAUUCACUAAUUGCACAAGUAUUUGUUGAUGGUUAUCAUGCGCUAGGUACCCCCUCCCAUCAUGGAACCUACAUUCUAGGGUCUUUGGCAUUUUGAAGUUUGCCUCUGAUGUAUGAAGAUAUUGAUUUCUUUAAAUUUAUCCUGGUUAAGGCUUUCUUUGUUUCUUUGAAUCUUUGGUUUUAUGUCUUUUAUCAGUGCUGGUAUAAUCUUAAUCAUUUUGUUUUUAUUUCUUUAAAUAUAGUUUCUUCAUGAUUCUCCGCAUUUGUUCAUUUCUGAAUUGUUAUUUCUUGUCUUCUGCAAGCUUUGGGGUUGAUUUAUUCUUGCUUCUCUAAUUCUUUCGGUUGUGAAUUUAGGUUGUAAUUUUGAGAUCUUUCUAACUUUUUGAUGUGGGCAUUUAGUGCUGUGAAUUUCCCUCUUAAUAUUGCCUUAGCUGUGUCCCAGAGAUUCUAAUAUGUUGUAUCUUUGUUCUCAUUAUUUUCAAAGAGCUUUUUGAUUUUGCCUUAAUUUCAAUAUUUACCCAAAAGUCAUUCAGGAGUAUGCUGUUUAAUUUCCAUGUAAUCACAUGGUUUUGAGCGAUUUUCAUAGUUUUGACUUCUAUUUUUAUUGUGCUGUGCUCCGAGAGUUUGUUUGGUAUGAUUUUUGUUCUUUUAUGGUUGGUGAAGAUUGUUUUAUGUCUAAUUAUUUGGUAAAUUUUAGAGUAUGUGGCAUGUAGUGAUGAGAAGAAUGUAUACAUUGUUGUUAGGUCCUUAAUAUCUUUGUUAAUUUUCUGCCUUGAUUGAUGAUCUGUCUAAUACUGUCAGUGGAGUGCUGAAGUCUCCCACUACUAUUGUGUGAGAAUCUAUGUCUCUUCAUAGGUCUCUAAGAACUUGCUUUAUGAAUCUGGGUGGUCCUGUGUUGGAUGCAUAUAUAUUUAGAAUAGUUGGAUCUCCUUGUUGAAUUGAACCCUUUGGCAUUCUGUAAUGCCCUCCUUGGUCUUUUUUGAUCUUUGUUGGUUAAAAUCUGUUUUGCCUGAAAUUAGGAUUGUAACCCCUGCUUUUUUCUGUUUUCAUUUGUUUGGUAGAUUUUCCUCCAUCCCUUUAUUUUGAGCUCAUGAGUGUCAUUACAUGCGAGAUGGGUCUUUUGAAGACAGCAUACCAUUGGGUCUUGCUGUUUUAUACAGCUUGACACUCUGUGCCUUUUAAGUGGGGCAUUUAGCUUGUUUAUAUUCAAGUUUAAUAUUGAUAUUUGUGGAUUUGAUCCUGUCAUUGUGCUGUUAGCUGGUUAUUAUGUUGGCUUGUUUGUGUGGUUGCUUUAAAGUGACACUAGUCUGUGUGUUUAAGAGUGUUGUGUUAGUUGGUAGCAGUCUUUCCUCUGUAUUUCAUGCUCCUUUCAAGAUCUCCUGUAAGGCAGGUCUUGUGUUAAUGAAUUCUCUCAACAUUUGCUUAUCUGAAAAGGAUCUUAUCUGUCCUUCACUUAGGAAGCUUAGUUUGGCUAAAUAUGAAAUUCUUGGUUGAAGAUUUUUUUUCUUUAAGAAUGUUGAAUAUAGGCCCUCAAUCUCUUCUGGCUUAUAAGGUUUCAGCUGAGAGGUCUUGCUGUUAGCCUGAUGGCAUUCCCUUUGCAGGUGACCUGCCCCCUUUCUCUCUAGCUGCCUUUAACAUUCUUUCUUUCAUUCUGGCCUUGACAAAUCUGACAAUUAUGUGUCUUGGGGAUGAUUUUCUUGUGUAGAAUCUUGCAGUAGCUCUCUAUAUUUCCUGAAUUUGACUGUUAGCCCCUCUAGCAAGGUUGGGAAAGUUUUCAUGGAAGAUAUCCUGAAAUAUGUUUUCCAAGUUGUUUGCUUUCUCCUCCACCCUUUCAGCAUUGCUUACGAUUCAUGGAUUUGGCCUCUUUACAUAAUCCCAUACUUCUCAGAGAUUUUGUUCAUUUCUUUUUAUUCCGUAUACUUUAUUUUUGUCUGACUGUCUUAUUUCAGAGAACCAGCCUUCAAGUUCUGAGAUUCUUUCCUCAGCUUGGUUUAUUCUGCUGUUAAUACUUGUGAUUGCAUUGUGAAAUUCUUGUAUUAUGUUAUUGAGCUCUGUCAGACCUGUUAGGUUCUUUUUUAUAUUGAUUAUUUCGUCCUUCAGCUCCUGUUUCACUUUAUUGUGAUUCUUAUCUUGGAUUGAGUUUUGCCAUCCUGAAUCUUGAUGAUCUUUGUUCCUAUCCAUAUUCUGAAUUCUUCUGUAAUUCUAGUCAGUUCGGUCUGGUUAAGAACUCUUGUUGGAGAACUGGUGCAGCCAUUCGGAGGACAUACAACACUCUGGUCAUUUGAAUUACUGGAGUUCUUGCAUUGGUUCAUUUUCACCUCUGCGUGUGGGUGUUCCUUUAACUGCAGUGUAGAUUGAGUACAGUCAAUAGACUUCUUUUCUGGAUGUUUUCACUGGGCUGAGGUUUUGUGCAGGAUCUUUAUUUGAAGCCGUCUUCUUGCCUCUGGUUUCAGGGGUGUCUGUUAGUGAGGUAUUUUUGGUGUGGAAGCUUUGGGGUGUGGUUCAGCAGGUGACACUUAAGCUUAUUGGUCAGUUGGUAAACUCUCACUCAAUUAUGUAGCUCCCCUGUGUUUCCUUGCAGUUGCAGUCAUUUUCCCUCUCAAUGCUCUGAAGGUGUGGGUUUCUCUCUCCCUUGAGUGCUGGCUGUAGGUUGUGACUUGGCACUCCUGGGCUGCCUGCUGCAGCUCUGGGGUGAUCUCAGUGUUUAUGUUUCUUCCCCAACUUGGAGGCAGCAGAGGAAGGGAUCUUAGUAGUACUUGUGGCCAAAGGUCAUUUGCUUGUCUCCUGGGGGCUCCUCCUCAGAGAGAUGCUGUUCAGUAAUCAUCAGUGCAGUCAACCCUGGAUGGAGGGUCUGUGCUGUGGACCCAAGCCAGGGGUUCCCUGUGUGGUGAUGAGCAGUUGGGGAUGUGCGGUACUCAUGGGAAGUGGACUGGCCUCCUCUCCUUGGGUCGAUUGCAGCUGGUUGGAGGUGUGGAUAAAGCACUUAGGGUGUUUGCUCCUUCAUUAGUCCAAGGGUAGCAAGGGCAGUUCCACUGCAGAGGCAGUGGUGGAGAGGCUUUCACUUGCCCCUGGAGGCUCUGUCCAGGAAGUUGUUGAGUUGCUACUGGUUUGAUAGCUCUGCGGGGGGCUGGGGAGGAGGUGGCUGGAGGCUGAGGCCUGGAGGAUCUGCCUGGUGAGUUAUCUAUUCUUUAUUUCUCUGCUUCUUCCUUUUUGAGUUUUAUUGGAUGAAAUGAGUAAUUUUUGUUAUUCAAUUUAAUUUCCCAUAUUAACUUUUUAGAUAUAAUAGUUUUUUGUUGGGGGGAUUGUUCUAGAGAUUAUAAUAUGUAUCUUUAACUCAUCACUGUACCUUCAAAGGAUAUUAUACUGUUUGAAAAACAAUGUAAGAACCUUAAAACAAUACAAUUAUUUUUAUCCCUUUCUUGCCUUUUGUGCUCUUGUUAUAUAUUUUUCCUCUCUGUAUAUUCUAAAUCCCACAAUAAAUAGUUAUUGUGCCUUAAACAGUCUUUUAAAAUAAUUUAAAAUAUAUAAUAUGUAAAACAAAUAUAAUUAAAAUAACACAUAAAUAUUUACCUUGAUGUUUAUUAUUCUUAUGUCUCUAUUCCUUUCCACAUCUGAUUUCAUUUGCCUUUCAGCUUGAAGAACUUGUUUCAGCAUUACUUAUAGUGCAAGUCUGCUGGAGACAAAUACUCUUAGUUUUUUGCUUGUCUAAAAAUGUUUUCAUUUCACUUUUGUUUUUGAAGGGUAUUUUCAUUAGAUACAGACAUCUUGAUUGACUUGGUUGACAGUUUUUUUUUCCUUCCAGCACUAUAAAAAUGCAGUUCCACUGUUUUCUGGCUACCUUGGUUUCCACUGUGACAUUAGCUGUCAUUCUUACGAAUUGUCUAUAUAUGAUGUGACAUUUUUCUCUCUUUAAGAUACUGAUAUUUUUAUACUCUAUCAAAUUUUAAAGAUAUCGUCUUUAUCCUUUCAGCAGUUUGACCAUAAUGUGCUCCACUGAAGAUUUGUUUGUAUUUAUUCUGAUUAGAAUUCACUGUUUUUCUUGGAUCUGUGGCCUAUAAUAAACUUUUGAAUUUCAUAUGGAGAUGAAGUUUAAAACGAAAUUUAAAAAAUUUAAACUUUGAUUAACUCACCAAUCAUCACAUAAAUUUUCCACUCUUCUCAAUAUAUUGAAAAAAAUGCAUUAUGAUUUAAAACUUUUCCAACUAUGGCAGAGAUACAAAUCUUCUGGAAUUAAGAAAGAGAGACUAGUCAGUGAAGAUUGGGGUUUAGAUGUCUAGUCCCUAGAAAGACCUCUACCUGUACUUUCUUUCUAGGGAAGAAUAAAAGGGAAAUAGUGGUGACAACAGAAUUUCCCAAUUAGCGGUGCCUCAUAGUAGAGGAAACAUGUGCCCUUUUUCCUGCAUAAGGCUUUAGAACGUGGCAAGAUCCAUAAUUCUCCUCUGCCCUAUUUUGGUCUGAGGAAUUGAAUAGAACUGAUUUCAGGUGUCUAGACAGAGAUUACUGCAUGAGCCUCAUAAAAUUCCUGGAAAGCGGAGGAAUGACUUUUUUUUUUGGAACCCAGUUGUAGCACUGAUGUCAAGAAAAGCCUUAGUCAUCCUCAGAGAGCUUGAUGAAGGACCUGAGUGGAAGUUAGCUGUGACAAAGCUUGGAGGCUUUGCUGUUGGGACAAAGACACACAGUAGUACAGACUCUUUGAAGAUGUCAAGUGGCCAGAAGGUAAUGACUGAGGAUCAGAUUCUGCUCUCUAUACUCUGUACUUUGACAUUACUAAAUUUUUGAGAAUUUAGAUAAUCCUUAGUAGGGAAGUAGAUCAGAAACUGAGUGAAGUUCAGUUUUUGCCCCCAAGCAAAAUGAAGUUUAAGAAAGUAGUUAAAUUCAGUGAUGGUGGGCUGGGUGUGGUGGCUCGUGCCUGUAAUCCUGGCACUUUAGGAGGCCAAGCAAGGCAGAUCACCUGAGGUCAGGAGUUCAAGACCAGCCUGGCCAACAUUAUGAAACACUGUCUCUACUAAAAAUACAAAAACAAUUAGCUAGGCAUGGUUGCCUGUGCCUGUAAUCCCAGCUACUUGGGAGGCUGAGGUGGGAGAAUCGUCUGAGCCUGGAAGGCAGAGGUUGCAGUGAGCUGAGAUUGCGCCACUGCACUCAAGCCUAGGUGACAGAGCAAGACUCUGUCUCAAAAAAAUAAAAUAAGGCUGGGCGCACUGGCUCACACCUGUAAUCCCAGCACUUUGGGAGGCUGAGGCGGGCCGAUCACGAGGUCAGGAGUUCGAGAUCAGCCUGGCCAAUAUGGUGAAACCCUGUCUCUAUUAAAAAUACAAAAAUUAGCUGGGUGUGGUGGCACACGCCUAUAAUCCCAGCUACUUGGGAGGCUGAGGCAGGAGAAUCGCUUGAACCUGGCAGGUGGAGGUUGCAGUGAGCCAAGAUUGUGCCACUGCACUUCAGCCUGGGCAACAGAGUGAGACUCUAUCUCAA